GGAGCUUGCUCCCGGAUGUUAGUGGCUGACGGGUGAGUAACACGUGGGUAACCUGCCUGUAAGACUGGGAUAACUCCGGGAAACCGGAGCUAAUACCGGAUAGUUCCUUGAACCGCAUGGUUCAAGGAUGAAAGACGGUUUCGGCUGUCACUUACAGAUGGACCCGCGGCGCAUUAGCUAGUUGGUGGGGUAAUGGCUCACCAAGGCGACGAUGCGUAGCCGACCUGAGAGGGUGAUCGGCCACACUGGGACUGAGACACGGCCCAGACUCCUACGGGAGGCAGCAGUAGGGAAUCUUCCGCAAUGGACGAAAGUCUGACGGAGCAACGCCGCGUGAGUGAUGAAGGUUUUCGGAUCGUAAAGCUCUGUUGUUAGGGAAGAACAAGUGCGAGAGUAACUGCUCGCACCUUGACGGUACCUAACCAGAAAGCCACGGCUAACUACGUGCCAGCAGCCGCGGUAAUACGUAGGUGGCAAGCGUUGUCCGGAAUUAUUGGGCGUAGAGGGGCUCGGCAGGCGGUUUCUUAAGUCUGAUGUGAAAGCCCCCGGCUCAACCGGGGAGGGUCAUUGGAAACUGGGAAACUUGAGUGCACAAAAAGAGAGUGGAAUUCCCACCUGUACUGUUAAAUGCGUAAGAUGUGGGAAGAACACCGGUGGCGAAGGGACUCUCUC
rnacentral:rRNA from 1 species